rnacentral:rRNA from 1 species
GACGAACGCUGGCGGCGUGCUUAACACAUGCAAGUCGAACGGAAAGGCCCCUUUGGGGGUCCUCGAGUGGCGAACGGGUGAGUAACACGUGAGUAACCUGCCCUUGACUUCGGGAUAACUUAAGGAAACUGGGGCUAAUACCGGAUAGGAAUCCUUGCUGCAUGGUGGGGGUUGGAAAGCUUCGGCGGUUUUGGAUGGACUCGCGGCUUAUCAGCUUGUUGGUGGGGUAGUGGCUUACCAAGGCUUUGACGGGUAGCCGGCCUGAGAGGGCGACCGGCCACAUUGAAACUGAGAUACUGCCCAUACGCCUCCAUGAGACAGCAGGUGAGAAUAUUACACAAUGGGCGGAAGCCUGAUGCAGCAACUCCGCUUGCGGGAUGACGGCCUUCGGGUUGGAAACCUCUUUCAGCAGGGGCGAAUCUUGUAGUAACGGUACCUGCAUAAGAAGCACCGGCUAACUACGUG